AGUGAACGCUGGCGGCAGGCCUAACACAUGCAAGUCGAACGGCAGCACAAGAGAGCUUGCUCUCUGGGUGGCGAGUGGCGGACGGGUGAGGAAUGCAUCGGAAUCUGCCCAUUUGUGGGGGAUAACCUCGGGAAACCGGGACUAAUACCGCAUACGACCUACGGGUGAAAGCAGGGGAUCUUCGGACCUUGCGCAGAUGGAUGAGCCGAUGCCGGAUUAGCUAGUUGGAGGGGUAAAGGCCCACCAAGGCGACGAUCCGUAGCUGGUCUGAGAGGAUGAUCAGCCACACUGGGACUGAGACACGGCCCAGACUCCUACGGGAGGCAGCAGUGGGGAAUAUUGGGCAAUGGGCGCAAGCCUGAUCCAGCCAUGCCGCGUGUGUGAAGAAGGCCUUCGGGUUGUAAAGCACUUUUGUUGGGAAAGAAAAGCAGCCGGUUAAUACCCGGUUGUCAUGACGGUACCCAAAGAAUAAGCACCGGCUAACUUCGU
rnacentral:rRNA from 1 species